GCCGGAGUGGCGAAAUCGGUAGACGCAGGGGACUCAAAAUCCCCCGGUGGAAACACUGUGCCGGUUCGAGUCCGGCCUCCGGCACCA
rnacentral:tRNA from 1 species